rnacentral:rRNA from 1 species
UAACUUAGUGGCGGACGGGUGAGUAACGCGUGAGAAUCUGCCUUCAGGACGGAGACAACAGUUGGAAACGACUGCUAAGCCCCGAUGAACCGAAAGGGAAAAUAUUUAUAGCCUGAAGAUGAGCUCGCGUCCGAUUAGCUAGUUGGGGGGGUAAAGGCCCACCAAGGCGACGAUCGGUAGCUGGUCUGAGAGGACGAUCAGCCACACUGGGACUGAGACACGGCCCAG